UACAGAGGUCCCAAGCGUUGUUCGGAUUCACUGGGCGUAAAGGGUGCGUAGGCGGUUGGGUAAGUCUGAUGUGAAAUCUCACAGCUUAACUGUGAAACUGCAUUGGAUACUAUCCGGCUAGAGGAAUGGAGGGGAGACUGGAAUACUUGGUGUAGCAGUGAAAUGCGUAGAUAUCAAGUGGAACACCAGUGGCGAAGGCGGCUUUCUGGUCUGUAACUGACGCUGAGGCGCGAAAGCGUGGGGAGCAAACAGG
rnacentral:rRNA from 1 species